GCGCGAGUGGCGGAACGGCAGACGCGCUGCGCUUAGGACGCAGUGUCCAUAGGACGUGGGGGUUCGAGUCCCCCCUCGCGCACCA
rnacentral:tRNA from 3 species